rnacentral:rRNA from 1 species
UACGAAGGGGGCUAGCGUUGCUCGGAAUGACUGGGCGUAAAGGGCGCGUAGGCGGCGGCCACAGUCAGAUGUGAAAUUCCUGGGCUUAACCCGGGGGCUGCAUUUGAUACGUGGUUGCUUGAGUGGGGAAGAGGGUCGUGGAAUUCCCAGUGUAGAGGUGAAAUUCGUAGAUAUUGGGAAGAACACCGGUGGCGAAGGCAGCUCUCUGGGACGGUACUGACGCUGAGACGCGAAAGCGUGGGGAGCGAACAGG